GCAGUCGAACGAUGAAGCCCUUCGGGGUGGAUUAGUGGCGAACGGGUGAGUAACACGUGGGCAAUCUGCCCUGCACUCUGGGACAAGCCCUGGAAACGGGGUCUAAUACCGGAUAACACUCUCAUGGGCAUCUGUGAGGGUUGAAAGCUCCGGCGGUGCAGGAUGAGCCCGCGGCCUAUCAGCUUGUUGGUGAGGUAGUGGCUCACCAAGGCGACGACGGGUAGCCGGCCUGAGAGGGCGACCGGCCACACUGGGACUGAGACACGGCCCAGACUCCUACGGGAGGCAGCAGUGGGGAAUAUUGCACAAUGGGCGAAAGCCUGAUGCAGCGACGCCGCGUGAGGGAUGACGGCCUUCGGGUUGUAAACCUCUUUCAGCAGGGAAGAAGCGAAAGUGACGGUACCUGCAGAAGAAGCGCCGGCUAACUACGUGCCAGCAGCCGCGGUAAUACGUAGGGCGCAAGCGUUGUCCGGAAUUAUUGGGCGUAAAGAGCUCGUAGGCGGUCUGUCACGUCGGAUGUGAAAGCCCGGGGCUUAACCCCGGGUCUGCAUUCGAUACGGGCAGACUAGAGUGUGGUAGGGGAGAUCGGAAUUCCUGGUGUAGCGGUGAAAUGCGCAGAUAUCAGGAGGAACACCGGUGGCGAAGGCGGAUCUCUGGGCCAUUACUGACGCUGAGGAGCGAAAGCGUGGGGAGCGAACAGGAUUAGAUACCCUGGUAGUCCACGCCGUAAACGGUGGGAACUAGGUGUUGGCGACAUUCCACGUCGUCGGUGCCGCAGCUAACGCAUUAAGUUCCCCGCCUGGGGAGUACGGCCGCAAGGCUAAAACUCAAAGGAAUUGACGGGGGCCCGCACAAGCAGCGGAGCAUGUGGCUUAAUUCGACGCAACGCGAAGAACCUUACCAAGGCUUGACAUACGCCGGAAAACCCUGGAGACAGGGUCCCCCUUGUGGUCGGUGUACAGGUGGUGCAUGGCUGUCGUCAGCUCGUGUCGUGAGAUGUUGGGUUAAGUCCCGCAACGAGCGCAACCCUUGUUCUGUGUUGCCAGCAUGCCCUUCGGGGUGAUGGGGACUCACAGGAGACUGCCGGGGUCAACUCGGAGGAAGGUGGGGACGACGUCAAGUCAUCAUGCCCCUUAUGUCUUGGGCUGCACACGUGCUACAAUGGCAGGUACAAUGAGCUGCGAAACCGCGAGGUGGAGCGAAUCUCAAAAAGCCUGUCUCAGUUCGGAUUGGGGUCUGCAACUCGACCCCAUGAAGUCGGAGUUGCUAGUAAUCGCAGAUCAGCAUUGCUGCGGUGAAUACGUUCCCGGGCCUUGUACACACCGCCCGUCACGUCACGAAAGUCGGUAACACCCGAAGCCGGUGGCCCAACCCCUUGUGGGAGGGA
rnacentral:rRNA from 1 species